UGCAAUGUUGGUCUUUAUCAUUUUGGACAGAACUGGAAUACAUAGUUUAAUUUCAUUUAUAGUCUGUUGGUUGUUUUAAUCUGUUUGGUCUUGAUUAAAAUACAAAGUUAUAAUGUGAGUUAUUAAACCUGCAAUAUUUAUCAUCUUCACACUUGUUUUUUUUAUUUACAACAGAUUGUUUUCAUCAGAUACAAGCACAAGGUCAGUCUGUGAUGUCCUAUGUUCACAUCUGUCACAUUUGUCUGAUUAUUUUACUUUGUAGCUUCACUUCUUUCAUAUACGUUAAAACACAAUUUCUCCUUUUUCACAGCUCUUCCUUCAGCUAAUCUAAUAGCGAAUAAACACACAAUCACAGAGUCAGACUCAGUUACGCUGCUUUGUCAGACUCCGUCAUCUAUUGUUGUGGAUCAGUGUUAUUUCUAUACUGAUCAAGGACAAACUCCUAAAAUCUUCCCCUGCCUGCAGACACUGACAGGAACUGAUCUACUGUCUAUGUCACGGCAGCGUCCACCUGCUAAUGUUAAAGUCAAGUGUUUUUAUACUGUAGAGUAUGAAGACACACAUUCUCCGUCUCCACACAGUGAUUCAGUCUCCAUCGCUGUACACAGUAAGCAGCUGCCUUUAGAUUUGAUAUGAUUGAUUGUUCCCCUUGAAUCACAGUAAAAACAAUUUGAGUAGUGACAAUCUGACCUGAAUAAUUUAAGCAUAAUGUGCUUGAUACCAGAAUUUCAAAUAUAUUAAUUGUCUUUAUUUUUUGAAGGUCUAAAGCCACAGAUGAGCUGUUCUGAUUUGGGUGACUACUUUGUCUACACUUGCUUUUUGCCUGAAUCUGUUGAACAUGGUACAAAAUGUAACUUGUACAUUGGAGAAGCACAUCAUCCAGUCUCAACAACAACCACCAUGAAGAAAACCACCUCAAAAAAACAGCAGUUGUGUCAGUUUUAUAUCACGAGAGACGAUUUGCUGAAACACUUACAAUUAGUUCAGCUAAAGGAGGCCAGCUGUGAUUACAGCCUGGAACAUGAACCCAACUUUGCUUCUGCUCCUAGUGAUGGAUGCAGCUUGACUGAUUCAUUUUCUGGUAUAAAAACACAAGGUGGGUGUGAGUUUAAUAAUGGUUUUGUUAUUAAUCAUAUGAUCCAACAUAAUUUUACCAUUAACAUUUCAGGUCUGGUUCCACCUGAGCUGACAGUGACUCCACUGGUGAUCACAGAGUCAGACUCAGUCACUGUGAACUGUCAGACUCCAUCAUCUGUUCCUGUGUCUCAGUGUCACUUCACUGUGACGGGACAUUUACGUCUUGGAGACUCGUCUUGUCUUCAGACAGUGACAGGAGCUGAUCUGUUGCACAUGACAGGUCAGAGGUCACCUGCUGAGGUCAAACUUACAUGUUAUUACACUGUGAAGCUUGGAGAGAGAGAGUCUACAUCCACAGACAGUCAAACAUCAUCCAUCACCAUAAACUGUGAGUGAAUGUAUUACUGUGGAUGAUGAUGAUGAUUGUUAUAAUUGUUUUUGUCAUUUUAAGUCAUUUAAUGCUAUUCUUUAUUCCCUAUUUUCAGCUCUUCACCAGCCUGAGCUGACAGUGACUCCACUGGUGAUCACAGAGUCAGACUCAGUCACUGUGAACUGUCAGACUCCAUCAUCUGUUCCUGUCUAUCAGUGUUGGCUCUACUCAGUGAGGGAUCAAACCUCCAGAGUCGUCUCUUGUCAUCAGACACUGACAGGAACUGAGCUGAUGAAAAUGACUCAAAGUUCACCUGUUGAGAUUGAAGUUACAUGUUAUUACAGUGUAGAGCGAAGAGGAACUAUAUCUCUGUCUCAAUUCAGUAACUCUAUCAUCAUACAGAGUAAGUAGCUACUGGGAUACGUUUUAUUACAGCUUAUUACAAUAUUAACUAGUAUCAAAUUCGUACCAUCACCUGCUUCA
ensembl:lncRNA